rnacentral:rRNA from 1 species
GAUGAACGCUGGCGGCGUGCCUAAUACAUGCAAGUCGAGCGAACAGACGAGGAGCUUGCUCCUCUGACGUUAGCGGCGGACGGGUGAGUAACACGUGGAUAACCUACCUAUAAGACUGGGAUAACUUCGGGAAACCGGAGCUAAUACCGGAUAAUAUAUUGAACCGCAUGGUUCAAUAGUGAAAGACGGUUUUGCUGUCACUUAUAGAUUGAUCCGCGCCGCAUUAGCUAGUUGGUAAGGUAACGGCUUACCAAGGCAACGAUGCGUAGCCGACCUGAGAGGGUGAUCGGCCAGACUGGAACUGAGACACGGUCCAGACUCCUACGGGAGGCAGCAGUAGGGAAUCUUCCGCAAUGGGCGAAAGCCUGACGGAGCAACGCCGCGUGAGUGAUGAAGGUCUUCGGAUCGUAAAACUCUGUUAUUAGGGAAGAACAAAUGUGUAAGUAACUAUGCACGUCUUGACGGUACCUAAUCAGAAAGCCACGGCUAACUACGUG